rnacentral:lncRNA from 1 species
CGCACUGCAGGUGUUAUCAGAAAGGAGUUAAAUUUUAACAGUAAAGUUAAGCAGGAAUUGAUAACAAUCUGAAAGACAUCAUGCAGUUUCGGCUUGCCACGUAAUCCAGAAUUAUAACGACUGCCUAAAAAUUUCUUAAAUAUUUCCUGAUGGGCAAUCUCAUUUGUAUAACCUGUACGUGUGAAACAUCAUGAUGGCAUUCAUACUGGAUUGAAUAUGAAAAUAAGCACAAAAAAUGUUAUUGGACUCCCACAGAUUACCAGAAUGCAAAAUGUCAUCAAAGGAAAGGACAGUGACUUUCAUAUGAAACUAAUGUCAUCAGAGUAGAAUUUUACUUCUGCAGAAUUCUCUGGACAAGGUAGAGUUUGCCAGGAAACUGAAGAUUUUUCCCAGAGCUCUGGAUAAAACAGUAUUGUGGUGUUUACUCUGGGGUCAAUGGUCAGAAAUAUGACAGAAGAAAGGGCCAAUGUGAUUGUACCAACCCUUGCCCAGAGUCCGCAAAAGGUUAGAUCAGGUAUCUUAAAGUGGACAA